CAUGCCCUCAUGUGUCCUUUAAGUUUCUCUUAUGUUCUCCCCUCUGGCUCCCUUUGUCUGUUGUCUUGUUCCCUUCUGGUCUGUUCCUCUGCAGUGUAAAAACGACAACUAGUAAUUGUUGAUUUCAUUUAAAUUUUCAAAUUAAACUGACUCAGAAAUAAAGCUUUCGAUUUACAACCAACAAAAACUUGUCUGCCCAACAAAUUUCUCUCAUUGUUGUCCUAACUAAGAUUUUCUAAACAGCACAACAAAGACUAUCAACUUUUGAGCUGAAUUUUUGAGUGAAGUUGAGAACCAGUGGGAAACCCCAUAGAUGACUGAUGUGCGCAUGCUCACAUGGUCGGAACAAGUUUGAACCAGACCUAACGGACCUUCUAAUAAGCCUGAGCAGAGGUGAGCCGUGUGAUGGUGGUCCAUAGACAGCAAGAAAACUUGACCAAACGUGGCCAAAGUUGUGUUUGGACAUUUUCUGGACAGAAGCGGGAGCUGACGAACAUUUUGCCUGAGCAGGUAAGCUAAUUAAGUGUGUUGUUAGGGUUUUCUACAAGCGCCUAACAAUAUUUCCAGCCAUUCACCUACUUCUGUGCUAAGGUUUUAUGUCAGAGCAUCGGCCCAGCUCGUUCGACUCCCGCAAAAAGUAAUGUUUUAUACUGUUUAAUGUUAAUCACGUCUGAAAUUCAGAUACAGACUCUCAUCACUAAAUGACGGCAUCUCACACUGGCUUUUUUACUGCACGUCUGCCGUGGUAAAGCUUAUUAGCUUGUUACCCGCUUUGUAAUCGGUUUUAAUAUUAUCCUUGUGUGGAGACAUGAUUUCAACAUUGACCAACGAACAAACUACCGCCUAUGUAAACUACGCGGGUGCAGGCAGGCGUCGUCAUGCAGAUGCCUUCAUGGGUCGGUGUUUGGCAGACAUGCGGCAAUUAUAAGACAGUGAUGUAAGUAACUUGCAUAUUAGCUAACGUUGUUUUUCUUUUUUUCAAUAGACACCGUUUAUCCGGUGCUGCACUGUUACUUUACAGUAAUGUAUAAAGCUAACGGGACAGUUUCACAGCUGGUGUGACACUGUCUAAUGUCCUUAAUUACUGGGUGGAUUUCAUGCAGUGCAGAUUUUGCAAAUUCACAAGCUCCAGUCAAGAGACUCUUCUGAAACAUUUUCACCUUCAUCACAGACAAGAUCUUAUGAGCUUGUUGAAGACACCUGUGCAGAUCUUCUUGCCCUGGAUCCAGAUGUGCUGACGGAUUACCACCCUCUAACAGCAUACACAGUUGGUGGAAAGCUGAUGGUGACCCCAAGGACAUUCCUUCUCCUUAAAGCAACUUCCUUCUCCAUUAAAGCAACUCAAAAAUGACUUUGUUACUUCGGGUAGUUCUCUCCUCCAGAGAAGCCCGGCGAGUCCAGCUUCCUGAAGUACCAGCAUCUGUGGGGCAAUUGAUUGAUAUACUUAAAGAGAGGCUCGAACUCCCAGGUGAUUUCUCACUACAGUUUGAGGAUCCAGAGUUUGGAAAUGCACUAUGCAACCUGACGGCAAUAUCUGAAUUACCAGCUGAGCGUGCAGUCCUGCAUAUAAUGUGGAACUGUGAUUCAUCUCCACUUAACCAAUCCACUUCUUCAGUGUCCUCUGCUUCAGUCUUUUCCGAGGACACAGCAAGUGUUUACUCUGAAGAUUUUGGGCCUAGCUGGACCGAUUCUAUCCAGAUGAACUUAAGGCGUGUCUCAGAGUGGCCCUCUCCAUUUCCUAUCCCCAAGUUUUCAUAUGAUGUUGAACUGAAAUUGUGUAAGGCAUACGACAUACGAAAAAUCUAAGAAGGGCCUUGCAGUGACAAGAGACAUGAAAACUGAGAUUUUGGAUAAAAUUGCAGAGGCAGUUUUUGAAAUUAAAGGCUACCCCGAGAAAGAUGAGCUUGAGUCAGUAGCUUCUGCACUGGUUCUCAAGUAUCCAUGUCUGAAGGAGCCAGGUAGCAUCACAGGCUACGAGGGAUGGAAAGCAAGUAUCAAGCACAAACUUGGAAACUACAGAUCAAAACUUCGUAAGGCAGGUUGCAAUGAGGUAAAUGUAAACAGGAAAAGAAAAGGGGGAGAUGAAGAGGGUAGUCCUUUCACCCUUAAAAAGCCCAAACGUGGAGAGGUCAAUCAUGUCCCAGAUUAUCCUCAACACCACGAUGAUUCUACUCUUGAAGAGGAAAGAGUUGCUCUGGUCGAUGAAAUGAAGAAGAAACAAAAGAACAUGACAGUCAUACAGCAGAAGAUGGCGCUGACAUUUUCCCUCAGGCGGAGAGAGGUCGUAGAGUGUCAACCUAUGGUAUCUGAGGUCCAGGAGAGAUGGCCUGCGCUGUUUUCCUCUGAGGAGAUAUCUGACGAAUUUCAUCGGAUCACGAGCAAAGACCUCCUGGGGUCUUUCAAUGCAUCCCUUGACAAAUUUGUGCCUGGCCUGCUGAAACUGUACCGGUCUAAGAAGGGAGCUCUUGGUGAGAAGAUGGAAGACCUCCUGGAUAAACUUGAUGAAAAGACAUCUGACAUUGUGUACCACCGAAAGACAGCAGCACUGAGAGGCCUGCAACAAAGGUUUUCCUGAAAUGCUUGGACACGGACAUUUUGGAACCAGUGCUGAACGGUGCAUCUGUUGCCAUCCUCACCAUCCUACAAGAUGACGGUGCCGGUACAUCUGUGCGAGACCAGGCGGUUGUGUUGGAAGGGGACAUCAUGCUACAUAACAUUCCAGACCUCUCUACUGCCUUGGCAUACCUCUUUGGCCUUCUGUAUGCCCUCAACAUUGAUUAUCCAAAGCAGAUGAGGUAUACCUUUGAAGCAAUUCAGGCCAUCUUUUUUUAGCUCAGUGGCUCUCGAUGCUCACAGCGCAUAAGGUCUCUGAAAACAAAGCUUUUGCUGUGACUGUUAAUGGGGAAGCCAGACAUGACUUUAACUUGUGUUCUUUAGCCUGUUCAAGUGCAUUGUAGUUGAGUCAUGUAAAAAAACAGUAGUUAAACCCCUUUGCCUCUGAUGUAAUCAUUUGCCAGUUACCAAGAGUUGCAUAUUUAGUGUUUGAACUGUUAAAAUUCAUUAUUGUUCAAGUAAAAUGUAUAUGUGCCUGUUUCAACUGGCACAAGGAUGAGUAGGUAAUGGAAAAUUUUAUUUUUAGAUGAACUGUUCCUUAACCCUCCUGUUGUCCUUCGGUCAAGAAACGAAGAAGAAGGAAGUACAGGGAGGAAGAAGGAAAGAAGGAAGGAGAGAGGGAGAAAAAAGAGGAAGGAGGGGGAGAAGGAAAGAGGGCGGAAUUAAUGAAGGAAAGAGGGAGGAAAGAAAGAAGGGAGGAAGGAGGGAACAGUCACAACAGAAUGGGUCAUUUUGACCUGGUUGGACAAUAUGAAGGUUAAGUGGAUAAAUCAUUAUUAGAAAUGUCAAUUUUAGUCAGAGGAAUCUAUGUUGUUGACAAUAUAUGGUGAGAUUUUGUCAUGCAGUAUUUUAAAAGAUUUGUUGAAGUGUUGUUCACAUGAAGCGCAGAACUGGUAUUUUACCUGUUAGUUCCCUGUUCAUUGAUGGUAAAAUUUGUAAGAACUUUUAACUGCUUUAGUUCAUCAUAGUUAUGCCCAUGUAAAACUUCAGUGUCUGGGUACACAGCCAAUCAUUUGUGGCACUAUUCUAUUUAAUGUGCAAGUUGUCAAGUUCAGCUUUUACAAGACAGUCAAGGUGUAUGCAUGAAUGACUAUGUGUUGCUGGACACUUUUUUUUCCAUAUACUUUGUUUUUCUUUUUCGAUUCUGGACUUCAAUUUUAAUGUCUCUGCUGCAGUGCUCAAAGCACCCAAAAAAAGAAAGCGGCAAUACUUUUUUACAGAAAUUGACCCAACUACCCAUGACAUUCUGAAAUGUACUUGAAGCAGUGUUCAACAAAAUAAAAAAGAUUUCAGAUAA